AACGCACGAGACCUGCGGACCUGCGGAGGGAUCAUUAGUGAACGCCCUCACGGGCUUAUAACUAUUCCAAACCUCUGUGAACCGUGCCCUUCGGGGCUAUUUUACAAACAUGGCGUAAUGAACGUCAUAUAUCAUAACAAAACAAAACUUUUAACAAUGGAUCUCU
rnacentral:misc_RNA from 1 species